rnacentral:rRNA from 1 species
GAUGAACGCUGGCGGCGUGCCUAAUACAUGCAAGUCGAGCGAACAGACGAGGAGCUUGCUCCUCUGACGUUAGCGGCGGACGGGUGAGUAACACGUGGAUAACCUACCUAUAAGACUGGGAUAACUUCGGGAAACCGGAGCUAAUACCGGCUAAUAUCUUGAACCGCAUGGCUCAAUAGUGAAAGACGGUUUUGCUGUCACUUAUAGAUGGAUCCGCGCCGCAUUAGCUAGUUGGUAAGGUAACGGCUUACCAAGGCAACGAUGCGUAGCCGACCUGAGAGGGUGAUCGGCCACACUGGAACUGAGACACGGUCCAGACUCCUACGGGAGGCAGCAGUAGGGAAUCUUCCGCGAAGGGCGAAAGCCUGACGGAGCGACGCCGCGUGAGUGAUGAAGGUCUUCGGAUCGUAAAACUCUGUUAUUAGGGAAGAACAAAUGUGUAAGUAACUAUGCACGUCUUGACGGUACCUAAUCAGAAAGCCACGGCUAACUACGUG